GCACCAAGCAAGUGUAACCUAGAGCCUUUGAAAAUACAUUGGGGCAAAAAAGUAUUUAGUCAGCCACCAAUUGUGCAAGUUCUCCCACUUAAAAAGAUGAGAGGCCUGUAAUUUUCAUCAUAUGUACACUUCAACUAUGGCCGACAAAAUGAGAAGAAAGAAAUCCAGAAAAUCACAUUGUAGGUUUUUAAUGAAUUUAUUUGCAAAUUAUGGUGGAAAAUAAGUAUUUGGUCAAUAACAAAAGUUUAUCUCAAUACUUUGUUAUAUACCCUUUGUUGGCAAUGACAGAGGUCAAACGUUUUCUGUAAGUCUUCACAAGUUUUCACACACUGUUGCUGGUAUUUUGGCCCAUUCCUCCAUGCAAAUCUCCUCUAGAGCAGUGAUGUUUUGGGGCUGUUGCUGGGCAACACGGACUUUCAACUCCCAAAGAUUUUCUAUGGGGUUGAGAUCUGGAGACUGGCUAGGCCACUCCAGGACCUUGAAAUGCUUCUUACGAAGCCACUCUUUCGUUCGGCGGUGUGUUUUGGAUCAUUGUCAUACUGAAAGACCCAGCCACGUUUCAUCUUCAAUGCCCUUGCUGGUGGAAGGAGGUUUUCAUUCAAAAUCUCACGAUACAUGGCACCAUUCAUUCUUUCCUUUACACUGAUCAGUCGUCUUGGUCCCUCUGCAGAAAAACAGCCCCAAAGCAUGACGUUUCCACCCCCAUGCCUCACAGUAGGUAUGGUGUUCUUUGGAUGCAACUCAGCAUUCUUUGUCCUCCAAACACGACGAGUUGAGUUUUUGCCAAAAAGUUAUAUUUUGGUUUCAUCUGACCAUAUGACAUUCUCCCAAUCUUCUUCUAGAUCAUCCAAAUGCUCUCUAGCAAACUUCAGACGGGCCUGGACAUGUACUGGCUUAAGCAGGGGGACACGUCUGGCACUGCAGGAUUUGAGUCCCUGGCGGUGUAGUGUGUUACUGAACGUAGGCUUUGUUACUUUGGUCCCAGCUCUCUGCAGGUCAUUCACUAGGUCCCCCCGUGUGGUUCUGGGAUUUUUGCUCACCGUUCUUGUGAUCAUUUUGACCCCAUGGGGUGAGAUCUUGCGUGGAGCCCCAGAUCGAGGGAGAUUAUCAGUGGUCUUGUAUGUCUUUCAUUUCCUAAUAAUUGCUCCCACAGUUGAUUUCUUCAAACCAAGCUGCUUACCUAUUGCAGAUUCAGUCUUCCCAGCCUGGUGCCGGUAUACAAUUUUGUUUCUUGGGUCCUUUGACAGCUCUUUGGUCUUGGCCAUAGUGGAGUUUGGAGUGUGACUGUUUGAGGUUGUGGACAGGUGUCUUUUAUACUGAUAACAAGUUCAAACAGGUGUCAUUAAUACAGGUAACGAGUGGAGGACAGAGGAGCCUCUUUAAAGAAGAAGUUACAGGUCUGUGAAAGCCAGAAAUAUUGCUUGUUUGUAGGUGACCAAAUACUUAUUUUCCACCAUAAUUUGCAAAUAAAUUCAUAAAAAAUCCUACAAUGUGAUUUUCUGGAUUUUUUUUCUCAUUUUGUCUGUCAUAGUUGAAGUGUACCUAGGAUGAAAAUUACAGGCCUCUCUCAUCUUUUUAAGUGGGAGAACUUGCACAAUUGGUGGCUGACUAAAUACUUUUUUGCCCCACUGUAUAUAGGUGUCAUUAUUGAAGUAUGUAUAUUACUUCCCUAUUUAUAAAAAUGUCUGGAUAACGGUAUUACAGCAUCUGAAGUGUGUGCAAUGCUCUGCAUUGUGUGCAGUAGUAUACUGUAAUUUAGGUGCAAUGUUUUGGGUCAAGCUUAAAGCUUCAGUGCGAUUGGUCAGUGAAGGACCAGGUGACUCGGUAGUCACGCGCUUUCCAACGAACCCGUCAGGAAGAAGAAAAACAAAACAAACGCAAGAGAAAGGCAGCGUGGACUCCAUUGAAAUUGCUUUGUUAUUGCUCAGAUAGGAAUAAACACGAAGCGAAACACGACACAAAACGUUCAUAUGGGGUUUCUAAAGACACCAGGCACCAGACGAGAACUAGACUUCCAUGAGUUCACAGAGUUUUCCACAAUAAAGAAGACUCUUUUUGUUACUUAACUCAUAGAUUUUUCUACUGUCGGUUGACAUCAUCCGAAGACGACUGGGACACGAGGUGGAGGAAACAUUCACAAUAAGGAACAGAGAUCGGUGCUCGGCGAUGCCUCAGCCCGGCAUCAGUGGAAUGGAUCUUCCCUUUGGGGAUUUCUUUCAAAAUUAUACUUUUGCUGAUCAGGCGCUGACCAGCACGGACCUGUUGGCGAGUAACACAGACCCAGACUUCAUGUACGAACUGGACAGAGAAAUGACUGCUUGCCUAAGUCCUAGAGUUGAUCACUUCACGGUGGGGGACUGCAAGGAGAUGGAGUGUGGGGAGCACCUCAUGGAGCUGGUGGACAGUGAUCCGGCCUACAGCUCGAACUUUGAGCAGUGGGAUACGUACUGGGAGGACCUGACCAAGUACACCCGUUUCACCAGCUGUGACAUCUGGGGCACCAAGGAGGCAGGCCUGGAUGACUUCUCCAGCCCUUACCAAGACGAGGAGGUGAUUGCCCGGACCCCCACCUUGGCUCAGCUCAACAGCGAGGACUCGCAGCCCCCUGUGUGUGACACACUCUACCACCCUGAUCUGCUGAUAGGGGGCCAGAAGCAGCACACCUCCCUCCACCCACUCUCCCUGAGCAAGAAGACAGCCGCCCGCCCGGGCCCCUCCUCUUCCUGCUCCAACCUGGUCAAGAACCCCCUGGGUGACUUUGCCAAGGGUUCCCAGAAGGCCACCUGGCCUGUCCCCUCCAGCACAGAGACAAUGUCCAAGGCCCAGGGAACCAGCAAGAUGGCCACCCUGGGCUACCACUGCAAUGACUACGUGCGCAAGGCAAAGGUUCGCAUCAGCAUGCCCCACCGGCCCCUAGUCGACAUGCCCAUGGCCUCCCAUCAGGUUGAGGCUGAAAACCACUUCACAUACAGCAGGAAGCCCCCAGAGCUGGCCACCACAUCUGGCUGUGCUGCCCCCGUGGCUGCUCCUGCUACUGCAGCCUCCGCCUCUGCCUCCGCCAGCACUCUGGCCUACGAGAAGACUGUAGAGCUGCCUCGCCGGGAGAUGCCACCCGCCUCAGUGGGCACGUCUGGCGCUGUGCCCCCUAUGCUCCACUACCCUGUAGCUGGGGCUGGGGCCAGCGAGACCCUGGUGACUGCCAGUGGGACUGACCCAGUCUCUGACAAGAAGAAGGAGGAGGAGCACAACUACUCCCUGUUCCUAACCCGAGCCAGGCUGGCCGGGAAAGCCCUCACUGAGGAGGAGGAAGAGGUUGAAGAGGAGGAGGAAGAGGAGGAGGAGGUGGGGGAGGACGAAGAGGAUGCUGAGGGGGUGGAGCUGGAUGAAGAUCUUGAUGAAGAUCAUGAUGAGGGUUUUGGAAGCGAGCAUGAGCUCUCUGAGAAUGAUGAUGAGGAAGAUGAGGAGGACGAUGAUUAUGAGGGGGAUAAAGAUGAUGACAUGAGCGACGCCUUCUCCGAGCCAGGUAGCCAUAUAUCAGGAUGUGACAAUGACGCGGUGGAGGACGUGAAGGGGCUGACGGCAGGGAUCUCCAGGAAGAGGGGCAAACGCCGCUACUUCUGGGAGUACAGCGAGCAGCUCACCCCCUCCAAGCAGGAAUGCUUGCUCAAGCCCUCUGAGUGGGACAGGGAGACCCUGCCCAGCAACAUGUACCAGAGGAAUGGCCCACACCACGGGAAGUACACUCUGAAGAAGUCUCGGCGGACAGAUGUGGAGGACUUGACCCCUAACCCUCGCAAGCUGCUGCAGAUCGGGAACGAGCUGCGUAAGCUCAACAAGGUGAUCAGUGAUCUGACCCCGGUCAGCGAGCUGCCCCUCACAGCCCGCCCACGCUCCCGCAAGGAGAAGAACAAACUGGCAUCCAGGGCCUGUCGACUGAAGAAGAAAGCUCAGUAUGAGGCCAACAAAGUCAAGCUGUGGGGUCUGGGCACAGAAUACGAUCGGCUUCUGUUUGUCAUCAACACCAUAAAGGAAGAAAUAGUGAACAGAGUGCAGGAUAUCUGCGACGACAAGGGAACUAGCAUGGCUGAAACUCUGGACAAACUCAUCCAAGAGACCCUUGUGAAGUCACCAGUUGCCGGGCAGACGUCUGACUUUGUUAACCAGAUCCUAGAGAACACUGGCAAGGGGGAUCCCACUGGAGGACUGGUCGGGCUGCGUGUACCCACGUCUAGAGUGUAGAUGGACCAUGUAGAGGUCUGGUGAUGGCAUACUCAAAGCCAUCCGCGCCAUUCUUGUCCCACACUGUAACGGCUCACCCUCUGCAUGACCAUUCCAUCCAGGAAUCGCAUCACCAUGCCCUGUGGGAAGAUAAACAUACCACUCUCCAAAUGGAUCUCAUGUACAGAUGAAAAUUGAUGCUGCUUUGCCUCAGACAGUUUUCUCAUCAGUGGAAUGUAGUCUUCCUUCAAAGGAUUCAAUUCAAUAUAAGGAUAUGUUCAUACUCCAGAUGUCCAGUGUAACAUUGGGUGAGAGAGACUAUCCAAAGUGUGCUGCAAUCAUGAUUCAGAGGAAUUUGAACUUGUUUGUAUGGUUGUCCUUAUUUCUGUAAACCUUUUUUUAUUUAUUUUGUAUUUGUGCUCAAAAUCAGUCAAUUGUUGCACACGUUUGAAUUUUUUAAAUAUUUUUUUGCCUUUUCUACUUAGACCUUACCUACUUGCCAUACCAUUUAUUUUAUAUUUCAUUUGAAAUAUUUCCUCUAGUUUACCUAUAGAAAUUAUUUUAGAUAUUCAUGAUACCGCAGCGAGCUAUAUGUUCUUGCUGAAUUACAUUUAUCAGACCCAGAGCAUUCACCAAUGGUGAUUGAUUUAGUUGAGUUUUCUAUAGAACCGGUAGAUCUGCUUUGCAAAAACUGUCAAUUUACCAACCUAUUGUGUCCCCUCCAAAAAUGAUCAAGAUAAUUGUGCCUCUUUGGUCCUCAUUUUCUACUGUUCCACAAACGUCUGGGUUUCACUUUACCCGGAGCAGUGUCACAUGUACAAGCAGAUGGCCUUCAGCAGCCUUUCUUCAAUGAACAAACAAGGAUUGAAACAGUAACUCUUAAUGACACAUGUUGAGGUUUGCAUUGUUCAACAUAGAUCUGUUAAACCAUGGAGUUCCAGGAAACAAACCUCGGUUGUCUCUAGUAAUUACGCAGGGGCAGGCGGUGCUUUAAACGUGGCAAAGCCUGUAUAACGCUUAAAGCAAUGGUGAUUGGUGAAGUGGUGGGCAUCUGCACAAAUCCAGGUUCCUUGAUUUCACCAGUUUGCUCCAAAGUGCCACCACACAGUUCUUCAUAACUUAAGAUUGAAGGGGGCACUAAUUGGAGAGUGAGUUUAAAACAAAACAAUGCAAACAGCUGAUUGGAGGCACCGUUCACCAGCCAUGGUGCUGAAUCUCAAAGACGUACUUGAACUUCCCCAAGAGCUGCAACUCGGGCCCUGUUGCUGUGUGGGAACGCUGCCUGAGGGGUGUUGCAACUCUUGACCAGUUCCCAGUGAACUUUGGACAGUGACUGACUUCUUUUUAAGACCUGCUGUAGCCACUGCAGUGUCGGUGUCAGUAACGCCUUGUCCUCAGUAAUGGUGGUUGACGACCGUGUUUUUAAAAAUGUAAUUGAAGUGGAUUGGCUGGUAGCUUUGAUAGGAUUAUUAUUUUUUGCUUCAGGAAAAGGCAUAGAGAUCGGUAAGGGUCACUAGGGCUGCUGGGCAGAGAUCUCUCAUCCCUUUACCGAAGUGUUGGAAUAUGUGUUCCUGCAUAGUACACAUGCAGACCAAUUCAAUGAUUACCAAUGACAUAGAGAAAACAGAUAUAACCCUCUUUCAAAGCACCAUAAACACAUCAUAUUCACACUGCAAUGAUUUACAUUUUCCUUCCAAACUUGCCAAAUAAUUUUUUGGGGAAAUCCAUACAACUCCCAAUGAGGACAUUUUUUUUUUUUAAAGAUAUCUCACCCAUUCUUAAAACUACACAAUUCAUGCCCUUGAUGUAAUGCUUCUGAUGUUGUAUGGUAUUUCAAUAGAUAAUGUAGCAUGGGAACUUUAAGUAGUUAGUACUGUGUGUGUACUCCCCAAGUGAAAAAUAUUUGUCACAGUAGGAAGGCUGUAUUUCAUUGCUAAGUGCUCUGUAAUAAAUCUCUUGGGUGAUACUCAUAAACAAAUCUGUAUCCUGCUGAAACUAACAGUGACUUGAUCCUAUUAGAAAUGUCUAUAUUUGUAGUUCACAUGUAUGCCUGUUCAAAUUCAAUAAUAUCUUGACAGUUCUAUUUAUGUUGUUUAAAUGUUGUGCUGGGUUUAUACUUUUGUCGUUCGAUCUCUUUCUCUUAUUUUUGUUUCCAUUUUUUUUGGAGGCACAAUUAGUUGGAGAUCAGAUAAUGAUCCUUGUAAAUGUACAGAUGUGAUGUAGGUUGGGUUCAGUUAUGAUUGAUUGGAAAAAUGUGUCUGCUUGUGUAAUUGUGCCUCUCCUUCAUUUAGUUUAGUUUUUAUUUUUUUUUAUCAUACUUUUUCUCACAGAAUUGUAUCAGCCAGGAGUUGGUACCACACUUGUGGCUAGGUGGAGUACAGCUAUGGACUGAAGUGACUUUACGUAGCAGGUUAGGAGAAUUAAUGUAGCAGGUUAAGGUUAGGAAAAGGGUAAGGGUUAGCAAAAAUGCUACAGCUGACCCCGAUGUGACUCGAACAUGUAACUUUUGGUCCGUAGCUGUACUCCAAUCUAGCCACAACCCGAUUUUGCUUGUAACCAUGAUUUUAUUGUCCAAUUCUAUUGUUGAUUUUAAUAUCAAAAUAAAAACCUUUGAAAACCA